CCGGGGGAAAGGACCACAGGGAUUGCCCUAGUAACGGCGAGUGAAGCGGCAACAGCUCAAAUUUGAAAUCUGGCCCUUUUAGGGUCCGAGUUGUAAUUUGCAGAGGGCGCUUUGGCAUUGGCAGCGGUCCAAGUUCCUUGGAACAGGACGUCACAGAGGGUGAGAAUCCCGUACGUGGUCGCUAGCCUUUGCUGUGUAAAGCCCCUUCGACGAGUCGAGUUGUUUGGGAAUGCAGCUCUAAAUGGGAGGUAAAUUUCUUCUAAAGCUAAAUAUUGGCCAGAGACCGAUAGCGCACAAGUAGAGUGAUCGAAAGAUGAAAAGCACUUUGGAAAGAGAGUCAAAUAGCACGUGAAAUUGUUGAAAGGGAAGCGCUUGCAGCCAGACUUGCCUGUAGUUGCUUAUCUGGGCUUUUGCCUAGUGCACUCUUCUGCGGGCAGGCCAGCAUCAGUUUGGGCGGUUGGAUAAAGGUCUCUGUCAUGUACCUCCUUUCGGGGAGGACUUAUAGGGGAGGCCACAUGCCACCCUCCUGGACUGAAGUCCGCGCAUCUGCUAGGAUGGUGGCGUAAUGGCUGUAAGCGCCCCGUCUUGAAACCCCGACC
rnacentral:rRNA from 1 species